AGUGAACGCUGGCGGUAGGCCUAACACAUGCAAGUCGAACGGCAGCACAGUAAGAGCUUGCUCUUACGGGUGGCGAGUGGCGGACGGGUGAGGAAUACAUCGGAAUCUACUUUUUCGUGGGGGAUAACGUAGGGAAACUCACGCUAAUACCGCAUACGACCUACGGGGGAAAGCAGGGGAUCUUCGGACCUUGCGCGAUUGAAUGAGCCGAUGUCGGAUUAGCUAGUUGGCGGGGUAAAGGCCCAACAAGGCGACGAUCCGUAGCUGGUCUGAGAGGAUGAUCAGCCACACUGGAACUGAGACACGGUCCAGACUCCUACGGGAGGCAGCAGUGGGGAAUAUUGGACAAUGGGCGCAAGCCUGAUCCAGCCAUACCGCGUGGGUGAAGAAGGCCUUCGGGUUGUAAAGCCCUUUUGUUGGGAAAGAAAAGCAGCAGGUUAAUACCCCGCUGUUCUGACGGUACCCAAAGAAUAAGCACCGGCUAACUUCGUG
rnacentral:rRNA from 1 species